CUUGACGGAGCCGAGCCACAGGGGCCGCUCCUCCGGGCGGUGGGCGCCGUAGGUGGCGAUGAGGGCCUGGGCCUC
rnacentral:antisense_RNA from 1 species